CUAAUAUUUAAACUGAUAAAGAGUAAUAAUUAAUGUGAAACUUGCAAGAAAUUAACUAGCUCAUUUGCAUUUUCAGAUUGUGCCAUUUCGGGAAGUGAUAAAGUAUGGCUUUUGUUUGUGUACCUCCGACCUCCUGGGCGGGUGGAAGGUUGUCGUGGAGAGCUUUUCUGUGCAGGUUUCACAGUAUGAGGGCACCCUCAAGACAUUUUCCAGUGUUUAAACAAUUUGUGCCUUGCAACCUGUCAUUUUGCAAAGCCAUUUGGAAAUGUCUUCACGCAGCACUUCAGGACGCAGGGCUCAGGCUGCAGAGGACACAGCUCCCAGCUCUUUGCCUUUUUGCUUGACAUCUAGGAAGAGAUGUAACAAAAAAACAAAGCAAAUGAUUUCGAGUGUAAAAAGGAAAGAAAACACGAAAUGAAUUUCACUUGCUACCAUAUGGUCCAACUCAUAUAUUGUGACUCAUGGUUUGUGCUUAUUUUUAAUAUCUGGGCUUGAUAUAUGGACAGAGGAAGAUAGGCUUAACUUGUUAAACAGCCCAGGCUUCCUUAACACUUUGCAAAUCCGCUUGGCUCUCAGCAUCCAGAGAAGACUGAAAUGUGCCACAAACAAACUUAGACCAGCGAAGAUUCCCAGUCUGCCUGCAGGACCUGCAUCUCCUGCGCUCCCUUGUUUACUGGGAAUGUUUAACAUUUCCUCUGUAAUGCUAAAGAGCUCUGUUGUCUGUUGCUGCCCUCUGUAGUGAUGUAGUAGAGACCACAAGACUUCUCUUGAGCAGCAAUAAUUCUGUUUAUUAGCAAUUGCAAAUGCAUUAUGAAAUUAACUGCAAAUCUGGGGUUUUCUUAUUCUUUGCUUCUGUGGCUUUUGCUUUUUUAGGAUUAUGUGGUCUUCACAGAGUUAUCAGAUUGACAGGUCUGCAUGUCUUUUUAAUUUUUAUUACCGUGCAAUUAGUAUUUAGAAUAUGACAGGAUAACACUUUUAGAAUACUCUAAGUAUGCAUCUUAAAACCCAUUAAAAAAAUCAAAUAAUUUAAACAAAUCAUAGAAUGGGGAAAGGCAUUCUUCUAGAUUUCAUAGCACAGCAACUGCUUUUCUAAAAGGAAAGGGCAAAUUCACGGAAAAUCCUAUGCUCUGCUCAUUCUGUCAUCUCUUUGAAACUUUAGCUAGAAAAAGCAACUUUUUUUUUUUUUUUUUUUUUUUUUUUUUUUUAACAGCUGGAUGCGAAAUGCAUAGUACUUGGGGAACAAAAAGCAAAUAUUGACAUAUGUCUGUUGUCUGGCCUCUUACAUCAUUAAACAGAUUUCUCCUCAGGACAGUGCUCACUGAUAAGCAUCAGCAUUACAUAGUAGCAGUAAGUGCAAGGUAAACUGUGAUUGCUGAGGAAAGAAUGUUACCCAGCAGUGUAAUUACCUGGCAUCCCCAUAUUGCCCUUUUUUUUUUUUUCUCUUAGUAUAAAAUUAAAAUACAUUACGUUUGGAAACAGAACAGUUUAUAAAACUUUCAGUAAAAUUAAGCAAUGUAUUGUAAACAAAUUUAGGGGAUGGAAACUGAAAUCUCUAUUGUUUUAGAGAAGUUUUCAAAUAGUGAUGGUUGUGGACUCUAAUUUUUGUAUAGUGGCAAAUGUUUCAAUUUUCAAAAGGCAAUCUGUAAGCUUGGCAAAUGUUUGGGUUUUCAAGAGGCAAUCUGUAAGCUGGCCCUAGCCAUCUUCUGUGUGAUACAACAGGCUUGACGUGAUGGAAUGAUUCAUUCUCAGAGUCUGAAGCACAUGGGAUGUGACGUUUGGAACAUGUGCACAUCGUUUUAGGCUGUGUUCAAUCAAACGACAUUUUAAUCUGGAGAUCAGAAUGACUCUUCAAAGAGGAUCUCAUAUUUGCACCAGCCGUGCAUUAAAGUUUUUAGGUGUCUGUGAUGUCCGUAUGCUUACAGUGUCUGAGAAGGUUCUGCAGCGGUUGUGGCUGGUGCCGUUGGAGUGGGGUUCACAGGAGGUGGUUCUCCAUCCAUCACAGUGGACAGCCUGCACUGACAUCAUCAAAUGAAGGCAAGCAAUGGCCUUUAAAGUAAAACUAGAGUAGGGGAAAAUUAACCUGUGAAAUGUAGAGCAUCUGUGUUCUUUUUUUUUUUUUUUUUUUUUUUUUCUCUGUGUUUUUAUUUCCACAAAUCUCAGGUUUCUGAAAGGUUAAUUUUACUCCUAUAUCUGUUUUGAAAUUUCACUCCUCCUCCAGUUCCCCUUUCUUUUCUCUGAUCUGCUCUCACCCCUUCCUUCUCAAUCUUAUCUCUUUUGUUCCCUUUCUGCUCACACAUAAGCUUUUCCUUUUAUCUUCCUAAAUAAAUUCUCACAGUGUCAAUAAUGGCCA
rnacentral:lncRNA from 1 species